CUUCCUGCUUUCAAAGUUGCAAUGAGCGCAGAGCGGUGCGCCCGAGGGGGUUGAAGCGUUGAAAGUGUGUUACCCAGAUUUUAUCUGAGUUAAACACGGGCCGGCCGCUGUGGCUCACGUCUGUACUCCCAGAGCCUUGGGAGGUCGAGGCGGGAAGAUCGCUUGAGCCCGGGAGCUCGAGACCAGACGCGGCAACAUGGCGAGACGCACAUCUCUGCCUUUAAAAAUGUGGCGCGUUUACCCUAUUUUAAAAAAGUUUUAAGUUUUAGCCAACCGGGAUCAGCUUAGAUUGUGGGCGUCCAACCCCAGCCAACAGGGAAAGGACAGAGGAACAGAAGCUCCCUUCCUUUGUCCCGUGUGCUCUGGAGAUUGCAUCCCACGCAGGCAGCCCCCUUCCGUACAAGAGAGGCUGGCGGUUACCUUUCUUGGGGAGACGCGUCCGACUGCUUCAUUGUGGGGGCCUCAGGAGCGGAGGAUCGGGUCCCGCCCGAGGUGACGCGUAAACCCAGACUCUCAGCAACGCGGGUAGGAAGGACCCUUGAAGUUCCGCGGCGACCACGUCGGCUGAAACCAGCAGCCCAGGACAAGUGGACCAGCCAGCAAGACCCAGACCAUCCAAACCGGCUGAUCCUACGACAGGACCCAGAUGCCAGUGAAAGUGACCACAGCCCUGCUCUAGUCACCCCGGAAGCUGACCAGUCUACGCACGGCCGAAGCUUCGUCAAGGAAGCCUCCACCCCUCGAAUUCCCAGUUCACCGACACCAGCCUGGGGAUCACCUCCUUGUCAGAAGUUGGAAAGAGGAAAAACUCAGCCAACCUGGGAAGGACUUUAUCGGGUGCUCCUGACCACCAAGAUGACGGUCGGAAAGGGCCCCAUCCCUGGAGGGAUCUUGGACCUUCACUCCAGGAUCAACGCCUUCCAAAUUAACAUUCAAAAAGGUUUAAUCUGUCUCUUCCUUCUCCCUGUAGCCGCCCAAGGACGUCUUAUUAUCAAUAUAAGGUGAUCACCCUUUCCCCAGCUAGUUUCGUUUGAUGCCUGUCUGGUUCAUAUACCCCGUAAAGAUAUCCACAGCCAAAGACAGCCUCUUCUGAAGAAAAUCCUUGGCCCAGCCCUUGUAGUAACCGGUACCCUGGGGUGCCAUUCCCUGUUGAAAUUCGCUCAGGAUGGUGGCAGAAAUAUUAAAGGGAAACAUUAGGUAAAGUUAGAGAAAAUAGUCACAAACCGGCCGGGCGUGGUGGCUCACGCCUGUCAUCCUAGCACUUCGGGAGGCCGAGGCAGGAGGAUCACGAGGUCAGGAGAUCGAGACAAUCCCGGCUAACAUGGUGAAAC
rnacentral:lncRNA from 1 species